UACGUAGGGUGCAAGCGUUGUCCGGAAUUAUUGGGCGUAAAGAGCUCGUAGGCGGUUUUGUUGCGUCGGCUGUGAAAUCCCGAGGCUCAACCUCGGGUCUGCAGUCGAUACGAGCAAACUAGAGUGUUGCAGGGGAGACUGAAUUCCUGGUGUAGCGGUGAAAUGCGUAGAGAUCGUGAGGAAGACCAGUGGCGAAGGCGGGUCUCUGGACAGUUCCUGACACUUGAGGCACGA
rnacentral:rRNA from 1 species